UACAGAGGGUGCAAGCGUUAAUCGGAAUUACUGGGCGUAAAGCGCGCGCAGGCGGUCCCUUAAGUCUGAUGUGAAAGCCCACGGCUCAACCGUGGAGGGUCAUUGGAAACUGGGGGACUUGAGUACAGAAGAGGAAAGCGGAAUUCCACGUGUAGCGGUGAAAUGCGUAGAGAUGUGGAGGAACACCAGUGGCGAAGGCGGCUUUCUGGUCUGUAACUGACGCUGAGGCGCGAAAGCGUGGGGAGCAAACAGG
rnacentral:rRNA from 1 species